CCUGAUGUGAAGUAGUCCUGUGUUUUCAGUUUUAUUUUUUUUGCGUUGGACGUUUGUUUUAUUUCUAUUCCUCCCGUUGGAGAGAAGGAGGCGGCAUCACAGCAGGCUUGAGGAACCAGAGGAGAUGAUUGCACACAAAUUUAAUGUUCAAUAAGUAACCUUCAUAACUGCUUUGUAUUGCUCUAUGUUGCAUUAUAAAACUGAAUAGCUGGCAUAUUGCACUCCUAGUCAUACCCAUGGAUCUCUAAUCUGUGUUUCCUACUUUCUUAGGGUUUGGGGGUUUUGUUCCUUGGCCCUAGGCCUAGGGCUCGGGGCGGUUGGUGUGACCUGUGAAUCCGUUCAGACUGGAACUAUUAUUACAGUUUAUAAAAAAUACAAUAGACUCUAACUUGGCUAAAUACGUGGUGCAGAAAUUAAGAAUGACCAUGGGAUGAUAUGAACAAAAUCACCACGCAUUCCCUGUGGUGACGUCACAGCCCACCUGAAAGUAGGGCAUCAUGAGCACUUGAGGAGGGUCAGUAUUUUAAUUCACUCGGGUGGUUGAACCCUAUGUGUCCCUCUGUCUGCAGGGAUCCUACUGGGCCAUCGACAACAACCCCAAGGAGGACUCGGUGCCCAGCCGGCCCAAGAAGAGGCCGCGGUCCGGGGAGAGGGCGUCCACUCCCUACACCCUGGAGUCUGAAUCUCUGAGGAUGGACUGUAUCAUGUCUGGAGGGAGCUCCCCCAGCUUGGCCAUCAACACCGUCACCAACAAGGUAGGACAUGGGUGCCACUACGGGGGAUGACUUACAAGGGACAUGCUUUACAAGCUAGGAGUUGCAGGAGGAGUGUUACACGGGAGUUAAAUCAAGUGACCAGACGCAAGCAAGAGGUUUACAAUUUACGAGUUUAGGUGUGAGUUACAAGUUCAAGGUAUGAGUUAGAAGUUAGAAGUUGAAAGUUAGGUUAGAAGUUAAAAGAUGCAAGUUAGAGGUUGAUAAGUUUAUGGUUAAAAGGCACAAGUUUGAAGUUUGAAGUUAGAGGCGAAGCAACAAGUUAGGUUAUAUGUUACAAGUUUAAGGCACUAGGUUGGUGUGAGCUUUUGUAGUAUGGCUGAAUCCUUUCAGGUCUUUGCUGUUGUGAGGCUGUUGUACAGUACAGUACAGUACAGUACAGUACAGUACAGUAGCCGUCAAACUGUAUGACGUGACAGGCUGACCUUCCAGGUUCAGGAAGUAGAAGCCUGGUGUUUUGAGUGAACCAUCUGUAUUCAUUAAUCAUCACAGCUCAGUGUCGAAUGCAUGGGUGGAGCAAAACGCUCGCAGGACUUUCAUUUCUAAAUCCAAUUUAAUUGUCCAUCAAUGGUUCCCACGUCAAAUUAAUUGGACCCAUUUGAGCCGGAUUCACUUUGGAUUGAUUUGAUUCAGUUCCUCGGGCUAAAUAUAUAUCUUGUUGUAAAGUUGUACAAUGAAGUGUUGAUGAAGUGUUUGAUUGUAAGUCUCGCUUUUACCACCAUGUGUAGAGUACAUUUACCACCAUACAUAAAGCUCCCCCCCUGCCCCCCACACACACACAAACACACAUAGAAAAAAAACAUGCACACACACAAACUCAAGUUGCUCACAGAAUAGGGUGUAGACGAGCUAUAAUACAGUGGUGCA
ensembl:lncRNA